GGUUUCUGCUAAGUCGCAAGACGAUGUAUAGGAGCUGACGCCUGCCCGGUGCUGGAAGGUUAAGGGGAUCUGUUAGAGCAAUCGAAGCAGUGAACCUAAGCCCCAGUAAACGGCGGCCGUAACUAUAACGGUCCUAAGGUAGCGAAAUUCCUUGUCGGGUAAGUUCCGACCCGCACGAAAGGCGUAACGAUUUGGGCACUGUCUCAACAACAGACUCGGUGAAAUUGUAAUUCCGGUGAAGAUGCCGGAUACCUGCGACAGGACGGAAAGACCCCAUGGAGCUUUACUGUAGCUUGACAUUGGGUCUUGGUACUACAUGUACAGGAUAGGUGGGAGGCUUUGAAACCAGGACGCCAGUUUUGGCGGAGCCAUCCUUGGGAUACCACCCUUGUAGUACUGGGACUCUAACCAUAGGCCCUGAAUCUGGUCUUGGGACACUGUCAGGUGGGCAGUUUGACUGGGGCGGUCGCCUCCCAAAAGGUAACGGAGGCGCUCAAAGGUUCUCUCAGUACGGUCGGAAAUCGUACGUAGAGUGUAAAGGCAAAAGAGAGCUUGAUUGCAAGACAUACAGGUCGAGCAAGGAUGAAAAUCGGACUUAGUGAUCCGGUGGUUCUGCGUGGAAGGGCCAUCGCUCAACGGAUAAAAGCUACCCUGGGGAUAACAGGCUUAUCUCCCCCAAGAGUCCACAUCGACGGGGAGGUUUGGCACCUCGAUGUCGGCUCAUCACAUCCUGGGGCUGUAGUAGGUCCCAAGGGUUGGGCUGUUCGCCCAUUAAAGUGGUACGCGAGCUGGGUUCAGAACGUCGUGAGACAGUUCGGUCCCUAUCCGUCGCAGGCGUAGGAAAUUUGAGAAGACCUGUCCUUAGUA
rnacentral:rRNA from 1 species